UAGAGUACGGUAGAGGAAUGGGGAAUUUCUGGUGUAGCGGUGAAAUGCGUAGAGAUCAGAAGGAACACCAAUGGCGAAGGCAACAUUCUGGACCGAUACUGACACUGAGGGACGAAAGCGUGGGGAUCAAACAGGAUUAGAUACCCUGGUAGUCCACGCUGUAAACGAUGAGUACUAGCUGUUGGAGUCGGUGUAAAGGCUCUAGUGGCGCAGCUAACGCGAUAAGUACUCCGCCUGGGGACUACGGCCGCAAGGCUAAA
rnacentral:rRNA from 1 species